UACGUAGGCAGCAAGCGUUGUUCGGAGUUACUGGGCGUAAAGGGUGUGUAGGCGGUUUUCUAAGUCUGGUGUGAAAUCUCCCGGCUCAACUGGGAGGGUGCGCCGAAAACUGGAAGGCUAGAGUACUGGAUGGGUAAGUGGAAUUCCUGGUGUAGCGGUGAAAUGCGUAGAUAUCAGGAGGAACACCUGUGGUGUAGACGGCUUACUGGACAGUAACUGACGCUGAGACACGAAAGCGUGGGUAGCAAACAGG
rnacentral:rRNA from 1 species